UGGCCAUAGUCCCAGUUCUGAGUCUUCAGAUGCCCAUCCUUCGAGGGCUGCAGGAUGCCCUCCUGGCCUCUCUGACUGACCCCUGAGGCUGCAGCUCAGCCAAUGCCCCCUUAUUCUCCUUUCAUGACCAAUUAUUCCUGGGAUCCAGAAAGAUCUCUUGGCCGUAUAGGGAGCCGUGCAGAUAAUACUGAACAUUUACUGCAGCCUAAAUGCCAGAGAUCCAGCAAAAAGAAAGCCAGCCCCUGACCUUGGAGAGUCAGUAGAAGGUACGUUUGUGCAUUCGUGGUGCAAUAACACAAGGAAAAAUGAAGUAGUUCUUCUAAUUUGGUCUUCUCUAAGUGAGCUCAGCAGCUAGGAGCACUCGGGGGACCUGAGGCCCAGAAACCCAUGUGACAGCGAGCCAGCCUGCGAGGGUGGUGAUUCACACCCAAAUUUACAGAUGCAGAAAAGGGGUGAGAGAAGAUGAGCUGAAUAAAUCUACAAACCAAAAUUCACAUAUGGAAUAAUA